rnacentral:rRNA from 1 species
AUUGAACGCUGGCGGCAGGCCUAACACAUGCAAGUCGAUCGGAUGAGAGGAGCUUGCUCCUCGAUUCAGCGGCGGACGGGUGAGUAAUGCCUAGGAAUCUGCCCAGUAGUGGGGGACAACGUUUCGAAAGGAACGCUAAUACCGCAUACGUCCUACGGGAGAAAGUGGGGGAUCUUCGGACCUCACGCUAUUGGAUGAGCCUAGGUCGGAUUAGCUAGUUGGUAGGGUAAAGGCCUACCAAGGCGACGAUCCGUAACUGGUCUGAGAGGAUGGUCGGUCACACUGGAACUGAGACACGGUCCAGACUCCUACGGGAGGCAGCAGUGGGGAAUAUUGGACAAUGGGCGCAAGCCUGGUCCGGCCAUGCCGCGUGUGUGAAGAAGGCCCGCGGGUCGUAAAGCACUUUAAGUUGGGAGGAAGGGCUUACAGCGAAUACCUGUGAGUUUUGACGUUACCGACAGAAUAAGCACCGGCUAACUUCGUGCCAGCCGCCGCGGUAA